rnacentral:rRNA from 1 species
UACGAAGGGGGCUAGCGUUGCUCGGAAUCACUGGGCGUAAAGCGCACGUAGGCGGCUUCUUAAGUCAGGGGUGAAAUCCUGGAGCUCAACUCCAGAACUGCCUUUGAUACUGAGGAGCUUGAGUCCGGGAGAGGUGAGUGGAAUUCCCGGUGUAGCGGUGAAAUGCGCAGAUAUCGGGAAGAACACCCGUGGCUAAGGCGGCUCUCUAGUACGGUACUGACGCUGAGACGCGGAAAGCGUGGGGAGCGAACAGG